rnacentral:lncRNA from 1 species
UAAAGUUGGUAAAUGGACACAGGAAAAUUUACUUGUGACUAAUCAUUUCCUUCUUCCUCAAACCCCCCAAAAUUCCAUACCUACACAAAACCUAAAUUAAACCCCACCAAGUUCAGGAGAUCACCGCCGUAUCUCCAGCGUGUGUUUGCAACGACCACCGCCAAUUCCAACUUCCACACAACCCUAACUAGUUUUAGUUACCACGUAUCAACGCUCUCCUCUCAUCUACUCUCCUCCGCAGCGCAAAUUAAGCGUAUGAUUCAGUUUGAAGCAAGCUAGAAUGAGAUUACUCAGAUUGAUUUUCACUUUCCUCCUCCUCCGGAUGCAGGCAGGCUAAUUCGAAAACAUCUUCAGUGGAGACUUUGAGAGAUCUAAAGUCAAAUGGUUGGAUGUGCUUGCUGAUUGGGGCUGUUAUGGGGAUAAUAGAGGUCAAGACUACUAGGAAGCCAAAGAGAAGAUUAUUCAGGUUCUGUUGGUCGCGGCUUUAUAUUCUUUUAGAAGGGGAUGGGGCAAAGGGUUGUGAUUCUUUUGUUGUGUGAGUUUUGGUGUCCAUACAGGUUCCGAAAGGGUGGGAGGGGUAUGUUUAACUGGGCUGCGGUUAAUAUUCGGUAUAUAGUGUGUUGGUACUAGCAACUUAGUUCCCGGAUGUUCAUUUUUCGUAUAUGCGUUCUUUUUCGUGUUAAUUUCAUUUCGGGUGGGAAUCUUUAUUCCAAAAGCUUUAGUGGUGUAUUGGGUCAAGAUGGCCGAUGCAUAAAGUCUAGAUUAUGUUGAGGACAAAAAGGAAGCUAUAAGCUGGAAAUAAGGUUUUUAAUGAAGAGAUUCAGAGGAUAUGAGGUAUUCAGAAGGAUAUAUAGUGUGGUUGAAGGAAUUGAGAAGGUUUACAAGAGGAACCCAAGUUAUAAGAUGUGUAUGUACACCUAAAGAUCAUUGAGAUGUAGUUAAAGCAGCAACAGUUUAGUAUUCCUAAGUGUCCAAUAUGUGUUCCCAGUUUAGCAUUCUUUUAUUUAUUAAUCUUUAGUAAGUUGUUUACAAAUAUAAAUGAUUACUAACUAUAUAUUUAUCUUAUUUAAAAAGACGAGAUUUCAAAUACACAAUUGAUGAAUAUUUGUUAUUUAUUCAACGUUUUUAUCAAUUUAUUGGUGGGUAAACAUGUCUACAUGAAUCUACUUUCACAGCAGGGUUAUAUUUUUUAUUUUAUUUUAUUUUUUUUUUACAAAUUUGAGCUAUAUAAUUAUAACGCACAAAAAGUCUAAACUUAGUUAAUUUUUUUUGUCAAAUUUCAGUAAAAUGACUAGAAUACCCUUCCAUUUUAAAAUAACCAUUUAUUUAUCUCGUUACUCUAUUUUUAAUUCUAAGGACCAUUUGUGUCAUUGCUCUAUUUAAAAGGAUCAUUUAAAAUCUUCAAGUGUUGGCUCUGCAAGCAAAACUCGUACCGUGAAGAGCUCGUAUCCGCCGCUGAAAACCACAACACCAAUCAACAACACGACGACGCUAUUCUAGUUCCGUUAAUCCACAGAAUUGUGCGACACUACGAGCAGUACUACCAAUUCAAAUCCAAUUGGGAGACACGAGAUGCGAUCUCCAUGUUUACUCCAACGUGGCAGAGCAAGGAGGACGCGUUUUUAUGGAUCGGUGGAUGGCAACUGACGUUAGCGAUCCAUUUACUCUACUCCAAAUCAGGAAUCCAGUUUGAAGCCAAAAUCGGAGAUCUUAUUCGUGGAUUGACCACUGGAGGAGAUCUAGGAGAGUUGACGCCAAAUCAGAUCAAACGAAUAGACUAGUUGCAGAGGAAAACAAUCCGUGAAGAACGAGUGUUGAGUGAAAAACUAGCCAAGCAACAGGAGUCGGUGGCAGACAGCGACCCAUACUUCUUGUCUCAUGGUUUGAUUGCUGGUUAUUUGUCUUAUCGAAUUGGGUAUUGUGUUAUUGGUGGAUCAUGAAACUGUUCUUAGGGAUCCCAAUUUUGCAAGCAUCCUUUUCUUCUAUGGAGUUACCAAACGACAUAGAUCCUUUGUUCUGCCAUGAUUCUUUACUUAACUGUUGGGAAGAUCAAACAAGGCGUAACGGCUCUCAUCUUUCUUUGUUUUGGACAAUUUGUUAUGCAUAUGGAUGGCCGUAUAUGUGUUUAGGCCUAUUAAAGGUACUAAAUGAUUGUCUUGGUUUUGCUGGACCUUUGCUUCUUAAUAUGCUGAUUAAGUAUCUUCAAGAAGGCCUGCUCUUGUGCAAAUACAUUAUAUGUUAUAGUAGGAGCUGGGCCCACAGGAACUGGGAAUUUUAAUGGCUAUCUCCUCGCCAUUUCUCUUAGCUUGACUUCCAUAUUGAAGUUCUCAUGGAAUUUCCUCAAGUGACCAUGACUUUGCCUGAUGGCCUUGAAGAAUCUAUCAUGAAACAUACCACACUUGUUGCUAAUACAUCUAAUAUGCCUGUCGCUGCUCGUGAGGCUUCAAUUUAUACGGUGGAUAGCAAUGUAUCGCACUAGGAGAUGCUGCUGCUGUUGUUGCAAGUGCUGCUAAUGCAGGUUGAGACACAAGUGCUGCUAGGAGUGAUGCAGAUUAUCUUGCAGUUGUUGUAUCAUUUGUAGAUAAUAUUUGAUUAGAAGUUUAUGUACGUAGUAUUGGAAUUGAAAAUUUAUGUAUGGAUUUUGGUUUAUUAUAUUGUUAAUAUC